ensembl:rRNA 5S_rRNA 5S ribosomal RNA
GUUCAUAGCCCUGUCACCCUGAAUGUGUCUGAUGUCUCCUAAUCUUGGUAGCUAAGCAGGAUUGGGCUGGUUAUUAUUUGAUAGGAGACCACUAGCUAACUUCCAACUUCUGGGCU